rnacentral:rRNA from 1 species
ACGUAGGGUGCAAGCGUUGUCCGGAUUUAUUGGGCGUAAAGAGCUCGUAGGCGGUUUGUCGCGUCGGAUGUGAAAACCUAUGGCUUAACCAUGGGCCUGCAUUCGAUACGGGCAAACUAGAGUUCGGUAGGGGAGACUGGAAUUCCUGGUGUAGCGGUGAAAUGCGCAGAUAUCAGGAGGAACACCGGUGGCGAAGGCGGGUCUCUGGGCCGAUACUGACGCUGAGGAGCGAAAGCGUGGGGAGCAAACAGG